UACGGAGGGAGCUAGCGUCGUUCGGAAUUACUGGGCGUAAAGCGCACGUAGGCGGCUACACAAGUCGGGGGUGAAAGCCCGGGGCUCAACCCCGGAACUGCCCUCGAAACUAGGUGGCUAGAAUCUUGGAGAGGUCAGUGGAAUUCCGAGUGUAGAGGUGAAAUUCGUAGAUAUUCGGAAGAACACCAGUGGCGAAGGCGACUGACUGGACAAGUAUUGACGCUGAGGUGCGAAAGCGUGGGGAGCAAACAGG
rnacentral:rRNA from 1 species